rnacentral:rRNA from 1 species
CCGGCCUGCGGCGGAAUGUUGCGUAAAGGGAAAGGUCGUAUUCAAACCCUUCAGCCACGCGAGCGCUAAGUUAGCCACGAAUUGACUUGCCCGACUAACGGAGGGUAUGACUCCACGGAGGGUGUAAGACCCGUGUGGGCGCGUGUUAAAGCUGAAUGGGGAAGGCCUCUGUUCCCUGAGAGUCGCGUUGCUUUGGCAUGCAGCGCUAAGCAGGUCGUAAACUCGAUCUAAGGCUAAAUAUAUCCACAGGACCGAUAGAGAACAAGUACCGUGAGGGAAAGUUGAAAAGCACUCUGAAGAGAGAGUCAAAAGACCGUGAAACCGCUCAGAGUAUAAGCCCAUGGAGUUCGGAAGGCAUACCGCCGCUGAGAAUUGGCGACAUGAGAGAAAGGUCCGUCAGGUAGGGGCAUUGAGUUGAUAUCCCAUUGACGUGCGGGGGAGAGCUGCGGGGCGUGAGACUACGGUGUAGCGUCCUCCUCUUCCUUAUUUGGCACGGACGGUCAAGGCUUCAUGUCGUAGGCGGGAACUGCCCACCACGGCUCGUUGUGAGGUCACCCACAGGCUCGACUGUCGAUCGCGUGUUCUCCUCGCCCACUCGAGUGUCGUUCGCGAACUCCCAUUGUUUUUGGGGGCUAGCGGGGACACGCGCGGCGAGGCCCUCUCAAAACGACCGGACGGCGACUGAGAUAAACCUGGUACGAUCCUCGUGCGACGAGCCGCUUUCUGGCUAGAAUGGCACCCAAGCCUCGUCUCAUGUGCCGAGCGAGGAAAUUGAGGUCGGUCUGUGUCCACUGUCGCGCUCUCUUCGUUGGGGGCGCGGCAAGGUCCUCUUGGCCGGGUGCACUCCUGAGUGGUGUUAAGUCCGAUACCAUCGGUCACGUCUCGAAACACGGGCCAAGGAGUAUAGCAUGUGUGCAAGUCUAAGGGUCUCACAAAACCCGGAGGCGAAAGUGAAAGCAAGGUUGUGGCGAGUGAGCCUGUCCCUCCUGUAGGGUUGGCAAAACCCCGUCAGCCGUAGCGUCUUUUUUGGCGCUUGGCUUGAGCACGAGCUGAUACUACUAUUACGGAUAAGUCCUGAGGUAGUCGCAAGCUCCGGGCUCGCGUACAGCACUGGUCGCUUGCGGCUGUGUUGCGAGCACCGUGAAGCAUGCAUGCUAUGACCCGAAAGAUAGUGAACUAUGCCUGGCGAGGGCGAAGCCCCAGGAAACUGGGGUGGAGGCCCGUAGC